rnacentral:rRNA from 1 species
UAUACAUGAGCAAAAUCUCAACUUUAUUAGAAGAGACGCAUUUAUUAGAUAAAAAGCCAAUGCAUGCUUUUACAGUAUGAAAAUUGGUGAUUUAUAAUAACUUAGCAAAUCGCAAAGUGAAAACAGGCGAUAAAUCAUUCAAGUUUCUGACCUAUCAGCUUUCGACGGUAUGGUAUUGGCUUACCGUGGCAGUGACGGUUAACGGGGGAUUAGGGUUCGAUUCCGGAGAGGGAGCCUGAGAAACGGCUACCACAUCUAAGGAAGGCAGCAGGCGCGCAAAUUACCCAAUUCUAACAGUUUGAGAGAGGUAGUAACAAGAAAUAACAAUACAAGGCAGUUAAAAUGCUUUGUAAUUGGAAUGAUAGAAAUUUAAACCCUUUUUAAAGUAUCAAUUGGAGGGCAAGUCUGGUGCCAGCAGCCGCGGUAAUUCCAGCUCCAAUAGCGUAUAUUAAAAUUGUUGCAGUUAAAAAGCUCGUAGUUGAAGUUCUGCUAAAAGUAACCGGUCUGCUUUGAAUAAAAGUGGUAUCUUGGUAUGUAUUUAGCAAUGAUGUCCUUUGAAGUGUUUUUUACUUUAUUGUAAUAAAGCAUAUUCAGGACUUUUACUUUGAGAAAAUUAGAGUGUUUCUAGCAGGCCAACGCUUUGAAUACUGCAGCAUGGAAUAAUAAGA